rnacentral:rRNA from 1 species
CCUACGGGAGGCAGCAGUGGGGAAUAUUGCACAAUGGGGGGAACCCUGAUGCAGCGACGCCGCGUGGGUGAAGGAGUAUUUCGGUAUGUAAAGCCCUAUCAGCAGGGAAGAACAAUGACGGUACCUGACUAAGAAGCACCGGCUAAAUACGUGCGAGCAGCCGCGGUAAUACGGAUGGAGCAAGCGUUAUCCGGAUUUACUGGGUGGAAAGGGAGCGCAGGCGGGGAUGAAAGCCAGGAGGGAAAGCCCGGGGCCCAACCCCGGGACUGCUCUUGGAACUGCGGGGCUGGAGUGCAGGAGGGGCAGGCGGAAUUCCUGGUGUAGCGGUGAAAUGCGUAGAUAUCAGGAGGAACACCGGUGGCGAAGGCGGCCUGCUGGACUGCAACUGACGUUGAGGCCCGAAAGCGUGGGGAGCAAACAGGAUUAGAUACCCGUGUAGUC